CACGUAGGGCGCAAGCGUUGUCCGGAAUUAUUGGGCGUAAAGAGCUCGUAGGUGGUCUGUUGCGUCCGCUGUGAAAACUCGGGGCUUAACCCCGAGCCUGCAGUGGAUACGGGCAGACUAGAGGUAGGUAGGGGAGAAUGGAAUUCCUGGUGUAGCGGUGAAAUGCGCAGAUAUCAGGAGGAACACCGGUGGCGAAGGCGGUUCUCUGGACGGUGACUGACGCUGAGACGCGAAAGCGUGGGGAGCAAACAGG
rnacentral:rRNA from 1 species